AUUCUUCAUCUUCUCCCAUACGACCUUCAUUCGCAUCUAGGGUUUCUGCUUCUUCCAUCAUACAUCUCCCUCUCAUCAUCCCUAAAUCUCAUUCGUGAACGAUCAUCAAUACCAAGGUUCACCAAGUCUGUUGUGAAUGACAUUUUGAUUAACAUGGCAAAAUCAGUUGCAUUUUGGCUAUGGACAUGAACAAGUUGGGGACAAGAAGCCCUUGAUCAAGCUUCAAAGAUAUUUUUGGACCCAUGCUAUUACCAGUGCCCUUUUUUCAUUUCGGAUGCUAGGUGAUGAGCUUGCAAAUGAUGGAGGGCAGGGAUCGAUUGGGAUGCUCUUGAGGUUGCUUUAAAACCUCAUACAAAAGCUAAACCAUGAUGAGGUGUAAAUGCUUAAUUAUUGUUAUUGUUAUUAAUGUAAUGGUGACACGAGGGUAACAAAAAAAGACGCACGGGUUUAAGAGAAAGAUAAACCAUCGGAAGGGGUGUACAAGGGUCCGCUAUAUGAAUAUUCCUGUGGAAACUAACGAUAAGAACCAAACAUGUGCUCUGCUGAAAACAAGGUUGGUAAAGGAGGGUGUUUAGAGGUUUAAUGAAGGGGUGUUUUGAGGAUGAUCAAGCAAUUGUUGUGAAAAGAUAGAUUAACACAGAUUUCAUGUAAUGAAAGGAAAGAGUUAUUGACAGAAAUAGGAACACUUGGUCAUGUUGAAAUCUCUCUCAGUCAAUCAUUCAAAACACAUCGGAUAUAUUAUGGAUAGUGAACAUAACAAUAUCAUCAAUAAGCAUGAGGAAGAACAACAUGUUGGUGACUAUGAUUAUAACUAUCAUCAUCAGAUCGUUGGAACAAAUCCGAUGCAUAGUACUUCUUCUUACGCUGGUUUCAUCCAACAAUAUUCAUCUUUACCUCCUCCAUCGAUGAUGAUAGCACCUCAAUCACAAAAUCAACAAAUUAUUACACCACCAGAUAUUCGUCAACAAGGUAAUUACAGUAGAUUGGAGUAAAAGAUGGAUGCGGCACUGAAAGGCAUCAAGAAGUGGCUUAUUUUAUUAAUUAAAUCAAAUUAAGAAAUAUCGUUUUUAUGAAAGCUACCUUUGUAAAACAUGGGUUUAUCCCAUCUAUUUAAUAAAUAAAAUCCGGUGUUUCUAAA
rnacentral:lncRNA from 1 species